AAAUUAGUGUGCGAAAUCUCCAGUGACCUCCUCCCCUUCUCCCCAUACUCUUUAGCCAAGCUGAACAGCCUCUGCUGUAAAGUAUUCAUUUUAUCCAGGGACAAGCUGGACAAUAGAACUCUCCCUGAUACUUAUGGACAGCUGUCGUCAUUCAUAGUGCUCUCAGUAUUUCAUUUUUCAUAGGAGUUAAAAGGGUUUUUACCUUGUAACUGAAAGAGGGCAUAAAUGCAACUUUGCCAGUUCUGGAGCUUCUGGGGCAGGGGGUGGGAUGGAAGUGGGGUGACUUUGGAGUUAGGAGAAGCUGCUAAAGAAAGCAAUUCUUUUUUGUCUUGCUAAUAUGAUUAAACUAAGACAGAAAUUAAAUUCUAAAUCUGGGUUCCUUGCAAACAGAAAAUAUCUUCGAUUCCAAAAGUUUCCUAAAAUUAAGGUCACCAGUGCCAGCUAGAUCAUUCAUCUCCGCCCACUCUACCCUUGUUUUGGCUAAAUAUGCAUGCAUUUUAUUACCUGUGAAUAACCACCCGUAAAUAGUAAGCCUGUGAGAUACCUCGGUAGUCCCAUAUUUUUUUUCUUUUUUUAGUGAUUUACUGCAAAUAUAUUCAGCAUUUGACUGAUUAAAUAGACCUUCGGCAACCUUGAGGGUCACUGUGUAGAGUAUGUACAUAGAAAAUGCAUCAGCCCAUUGUACCCUGGCAGCUAAUGAGAUUGGUCGUUAAGUAAAUGACACAAAGCCUACAAAAAAAGCUUAGCAGCUCACUAGAGUAUCACAGAGUGUCCCUGCACACCACACAACGACACAAACACUGGACUAACCUAGCCCACCCCUGCUUUAUUCUACAUCACUGCUUCCCUGAUGUCAGCGUGAGAGGCAGAACAAAGGCUAGGAGGCACGGUAGCAAUGGAAAUGCUCCAGUUCAAAUCCAAUGAAUAUUAGGGAAGGAACUACAGUUGACUUGAAGAAGCAUCUGCUUAAUGUCUGGUCAAAGCUUACCAGUGAUACAGAAAUCUAUGGUUAAAAAGCCAAGCACUUCAGUCUACUGCAAAGGGUAAAAUACAGGAAGAUAGAAAUCUUCUGCAAGGAAGGUUGGUGGCUUGUAUUUUAAAGUACCAGAACUGCCAGAUGUAAACCCUUUAGAUGUGCCUUGCUGUAUGUGGUAUUUGCAUGAAUAGCCCCUCCCUAGGAUGCUGAGCAUACUACACUGAAUUUCAAAGUUUUCUCUCAAAGGCCAAAUGGCCUGAAGACAGAUUCUGUUCCCAUCCCUGGGACAAAAUAGAGGUGAAGCAGCUCUGCGUGUCAUGUCUGAAUGCACAGGAAAACAAAGGCAAAUUGUUUCUAUGGAAAACAAGUUAAAACAUUGGCAAAAAAACGUUAGCAACAUUUUAUGACCAUCUCAUUAAAAAGAACUCUAAACAACGAAAGCAUGAAUUUUGAAUCUGUCUUUUGUGAUUUCUUGAGUAUAGCACUUUCCAAAUCUUGUCUGAACUUUUUCUUUUGGUGGUUAAAAGUAAAAACACUAGUGAUAACAGACAGUACCUCUUAUCCAGUUUACCAAAUCGAA
rnacentral:lncRNA from 1 species